rnacentral:rRNA from 1 species
UACGAAGGGGGCUAGCGUUGCUCGGAAUCACUGGGCGUAAAGCGCACGUAGGCGGAUUGUUAAGUCAGGGGUGAAAUCCCAGAGCUCAACUCUGGAACUGCCUUUGAUACUGGGUGUCUUGAGUCCGGAAGAGGUGAGUGGAAUUCCGAGUGUAGAGGUGAAAUUCGUAGAUAUUCGGAGGAACACCAGUGGCGAAGGCGGCUCACUGGUCCGGUACUGACGCUGAGGUGCGAAAGCGUGGGGAGCAAACAGG